GAAAUGCGAUAAGUAAUGUGAAUUGCAGAAUUCAGUGAAUCAUCGAAUCUUUGAACGCACCUUGCGCUCCUUGGUAUUCCUUGGAGCAUGCCUGUUUGAGUAUCAUGAAAUCUUCAAAGUAAAUCUUUUGUUAACUCAAUUGGCUUCUACUUUGGUAUUGGAGGUCUUUGCAGCUUCACACCUGCUCCUCUUUGUUCAUUAGCUGGAUCUCAGUGUUAUGCUUGGUUCCACUCGGCGUGAUAAGUUAUCUAUCGCUGAGGACACUGUAAAAGGUGGCCAAGGUAAAUGCAGAUGAACCGCUUCUAAUAGUCCAUUGACUUGGACAAUACUUUUAUGAUCUGAACUCAAAUCAGGUAGGACUACCCGCUGAACUUAAGC
rnacentral:misc_RNA from 1 species